CGUCAAGUCCUCAUGGCCCUUACGUCCAGGGCUACACACGUGCUACAAUGGGCGGUACAGAGGGAAGCGAUAUCGCGAGAAGGAGCCAAUCCCAGAAAGCCGUCCUCAGUUCGGAUUGGAGUCUGCAACUCGACUCCAUGAAGUUGGAAUCGCUAGUAAUCGGAGAUCAGCACGCUCCGGUGAAUACGUUCCCGGGCCUU
rnacentral:rRNA from 1 species